CGAGACUUUCAGAGAUGCUUUGGUGCCUUCGGGAACUCUGAGACAGGUGCUGCAUGGCUGUCGUCAGCUCGUGUUGUGAAAUGUUGGGUUAAGUCCCGCAACGAGCGCAACCCUUAUCCUUUGUUGCCAGCGGUUCGGCCGGGAACUCCAAGGAAACUGGCAGUGAUAAACUGGAAGAAGGGGGGGAUGACCUCCAGUCAUCAUGGCCCUUACCAGUAGGGCUACACACCUGCUACAAUGGCAUAUACAAAGAAAAGCGACCUCCCGAGAGCAAGCGGACCUCAUAAAGUAUGUCGUAGUCCGGAUCGGAGUCUGCAACUCGACUCCGUGAAGUCGGAAUCGCUAGUAAUCGUGGAUCAGAAUGCCACGGUGAAUACGUUCCCGGGUCUUGUACACACCGAA
rnacentral:rRNA from 1 species